AGUGAACGCUGGCGGUAGGCCUAACACAUGUAAGUCGAACGGCAGCACAGUAAGAGCUUGCUCUUACGGGAGGCGAGUGGCGGACGGGUGAGGAAUACAUCGGAAUCUACUUUUUCGUGGGGGAUAACGUAGGGAAACUUACGCUAAUACCGCAUACGGCCUACGGGUGAAAGAAGGGGAUCUUCGGACCUUGCGCGAUUGAAUGAGCCGAUGUCGGAUUAGUUAGUUGGCGGGGUAAAGGCCCACCAAGGCGACGAUCCGUAGCUGGCCUGAGAGGAUGAUCAGCCACACUGGAACUGAGACACGGUCCAGACUCCUACGGGAGGCAGCAGUGGGGAAUAUUGGACAAUGGGCGCAAGCCUGAUCCAGCCAUACCGCGUGGGUGAAGAAGGCCUUCGGGUUGUAAAGCCCUUUUGUUGGGAAAGAAAAGCAGCAGGUUAAUACCCCGCUGUUCUGACGGUACCCAAAGAAUAAGCACCGGCUAACUUCGUG
rnacentral:rRNA from 1 species